rnacentral:rRNA from 1 species
UGUCACUUAUAGAUGGAUCCGCGCUGCAUUAGCUAGUUGGUAAGGUAACGGCUUACCAAGGCAACGAUGCAUAGCCGACCUGAGAGGGUGAUCGGCCACACUGGAACUGAGACACGGUCCAGACUCCUACGGGAGGCAGCAGUAGGGAAUCUUCCGCAAUGGGCGAAAGCCUGACGGAGCAACGCCGCGUGAGUGAUGAAGGUCUUCGGAUCGUAAAACUCUGUUAUUAGGGAAGAACAUAUGUGUAAGUAACUGUGCACAUCUUGACGGUACCUAAUCAGAAAGCCACGGCUAACUACGUGCCAGCAGCCGCGGUAAUACGUAGGUGGCAAGCGUUAUCCGGAAUUAUUGGGCGUAAAGCGCGCGUAGGCGGUUUUUUAAGUCUGAUGUGAAAGCCCACGGCUCAACCGUGGAGGGUCAUUGGAAACUGGAAAACUUGAGUGCAGAAGAGGAAAGUGGAAUUCCAUGUGUAGCGGUGAAAUGCGCAGAGAUAUGGAGGAACACCAGUGGCGAAGGCGACUUUCUGGUCUGUAACUGACGCUGAUGUGCGAAAGCGUGGGGAUCAAACAGGAUUAGAUACCCUGGUAGUCCACGCCGUAAACGAUGAGUGCUAAGUGUUAGGGGGUUUCCGCCCCUUAGUGCUGCAGCUAACGCAUUAAGCACUCCGCCUGGGGAGUACGACCGCAAGGUUGAAACUCAAAGGAAUUGACGGGGACCCGCACAAGCGGUGGAGCAUGUGGUUUAAUUCGAAGCAACGCGAAGAACCUUACCAAAUCUUGACAUCCUUUGACAACUCUAGAGAUAGAGCCUUCCCCUUCGGGGGACAAAGUGACAGGUGGUGCAUGGUUGUCGUCAGCUCGUGUCGUGAGAUGUUGGGUUAAGUCCCGCAACGAGCGCAACCCUUAAGCUUAGUUGCCAUCAUUAAGUUGGGCACUCUAAGUUGACUGCCGGUGACAAACCGGAGGAAGGUGGGGAUGACGUCAAAUCAUCAUGCCCCUUAUGAUUUGGGCUACACACGUGCUACAAUGGACAAUACAAAGGGCAGCGAAACCGUGAGGUCAAGCAAAUCCCAUAAAGUUGUUCUCAGUUCGGAUUGUAGUCUGCAACUCGACUACAUGAAGCUGGAAUCGCUAGUAAUCGUAGAUCAGCAUGCUACGGUGAAUACGUUCCCGGGUCUUGUACACACCGCCCGUCACACCACGAGAGUUUGUAACACCCGAAGCCGGUGGAGUAACCUUUUAGGAGCUAGCCGUCGAAGGUGGGACAAAUGAUUGGGGUGAAGUCGUAACAAGGUAGCCGUAUCGGAAGGUGCGGCUG